AUUUAAAUAGUUUAAUUAAAAAUAUUGAUUUGUGGUGUCAAAGAUGUGGAUUUUCACUUUAGAUA
rnacentral:tRNA from 1 species